CCUACGGGAGGCAGCAGUGGGGAAUAUUUGGCAAUGGGCGCAAGCCUGACCCAGCAACGCCGCGUGAAGGAAGAAGGCUUUCGGGUUGUAAACUUCUUUUAAGAGGGAAGAGCAGAAGACGGUACCUCUUGAAUAAGCCACGGCUAACUACGUGCCAGCAGCCGCGGUAAUACGUAGGUGGCAAGCGUUGUCCGGAUUUACUGGGUGUAAAGGGCGUGUAGCCGGGCUGACAAGUCAGAUUUGAAAUUCCGGGGCUCAACCCCGGACCUGCAUUUGAAACUGUUGGUCUUGAGUAUCGGAGAGGCAGGCGGAAGUCCUAGUGUAGCGGUGAAAUGCGUAGAUAUUAGGAGGAACACCAGUGGCGAAGGCGGGCUGCUGGACGACAACUGACGGUGAGGCGCGAAGGCGUGGGGAGCAAACGGGAUUAGAUACCCUAGUAGUC
rnacentral:rRNA from 1 species